UACGUAGGGUGCAAGCGUUGUCCGGAAUUAUUGGGCGUAAAGAGCUCGUAGGCAGUCUGUCGCGUCUGCUGUGAAAUCCCGAGGCUCAACCUCGGGUCUGCAGUCGAUACGGGCAAACUAGAGUAUUGCAGGGGAGACUGGAAUUCCUGGUGUAGCGGUGAAAUGCGUAGAGAUCUGGAGGAACACCGGUGGCGAAGUCGGCAUCCUGGACCGAUAUUGACGCUGAUGCGCGAAAGCCAGGGGAGCAAACGGG
rnacentral:rRNA from 1 species